UACGGAGGGUGCAAGCGUUGUUCGGAAUCACUGGGCGUAAAGGGCGUGUAGGCGGUCUGCUAAGUCUGAUGUGAAAUCCCCUCGCUCAACGAGGGAACUGCGUCGGAUACUGGCAGACUCGAGUACCGGAGAGGAUAGUGGAAUUCCCAGUGUAGUGGUGAAAUACGUAGAGAUUGGGAAGAACACCAGUGGCGAAGGCGGCUAUCUGGACGGUUUCUGACGCUAAGACGCGAAAGCUAGGGGAGCAAACGGG
rnacentral:rRNA from 1 species